AUUGAACGCUGGCGGCAUGCCUUACACAUGCAAGUCGAACGGUAACGCGGGGGCGAACCCUGGCGACGAGUGGCGAACGGGUGAGUAAUACAUCGGAACGUACCCAGUAGUGGGGGAUAGCUCGGCGAAAGCCGGAUUAAUACCGCAUACGACCUAUGGGUGAAAGCGGGGAUCGCAAGACCUCGCGCUAUUGGAGCGGCCGAUGUCGGAUUAGCUAGUUGGUGAGGUAAAGGCNCACCAAGGCUACGAUCCGUAGCUGGUCUGAGAGGACGACCAGCCACACUGGGACUGAGACACGGCCCAGACUCCUACGGGAGGCAGCAGUGGGGAAUUUUGGACAAUGGGCGAAAGCCUGAUCCAGCCAUGCCGCGUGUGUGAAG
rnacentral:rRNA from 1 species